UAGAGAACAGCUCACACUGCCUUCUCCCAGAAACCGAGCCCGAGUUCUGCUACACGUGUGACAGCCACUACACUUCCUUCCACUGGAUGGAAAGCUGUCACAGGUUUCUGAGAGGCGCGAUGCAGCUCUAACCUUCAGCACGCGAGAAAGGAAAAGAAAAUCGUUGCUAAACUCGGAUGAAUACCGGAUUGGCUUUAACGAGGAGCGAGGAGUGUCUGGAAAAUGCCCGAUCCUCAUGAAGGAGUUCAGGCGUGGAGCCAGGUGAAAAGUGAAACUCUGUGAAGAUGCUGUAUGUCAUGCUUGAAGAAGGAUCCCUCUAUCAAGGAAGACACUUGUGAAGGAGGUCCUGUGCCUGAAAGAAAUCAUGGAAUUGGUUGACUAUGUUCUGACCUCCUAGCAGAGUGCUUGUAUGUAGCCAAUGAGCAUCAUAUCCCAGAGGUUCAUCUGCAUAUUUAGUAAUAUUAUUUCUACAACUGAGAAUGUUCCUGCUCUUCUGAGAGCAAGUCUACAAGAGGAUGAAGGAGAUUUACAGGAGUGGCUGCUACAACCUGAGAUUUUUGCAGAUGUUUUGCAUUGUUAGCUGCAGGCCUUCUACUUGAACCAUUAGCCUUCCUGCACUGGUGGAGUUUACUGGUGAAUUCCAGAAUAUUAACCCACUGAU